GGGGGUGGGGGUACUCUGGGUUCAGUCCAAAAUUCCGAGCCUGGGCCAAGACCAAUAAGACCUAAUGGCCAGUGUUAUGAAUCCACCAAGGAUGUCAGUGCGAGCAGCUGGCAUCCCGGUGGCCUCAACACACUCAAACCCUGUGGCCUCAGCUGAAAUAGGGAGGACUGCUCCCAUCCAUGAAUCCACUCCACAGCCUGCUAAAGUCCAUGGUUCCACGCCAUAGCCCACUCAAGCCCUAGAGUUCAGUCCUGUGUUGACACCAACCAGUGAGUUUUCUGCCUGUCCUGUUUUGACCACAGUGGUCACACAUAAACCCUCUGCCAGUCCUGUCAUGGCUAAAGAGGCUGUCCCUGAACUCACAGUAUGCUCUGUCACAGCCAGGGAUGCCAUCUCUGAACUCACAGUCAUCCCUUUCACAGCCAAGAAGAGGUCAUCCCUGAACUCUCUGCCUGUCAUACCAUGGCCAGUGAGGUCAUUACUGAACCCCUUUCCUGACCGCUCAAGGUUACUCUGCCUGUUCUGUCACAGCCAGGUGGUCUGUCCAUGUCUCAGGUGUACCAUGGCCUCCUGACCUGUGAUGGUCUUCUGAUCCGCAGGCUUCACCUUGUUCGCCUGCUCCGCCCUAACUUCCUUCUCUGCCAGCUCCACACUGGUGGUCAUCUGCUCCACCGUGGGGAUCCGCUGACCUGCCUGCUCCACCCUGGUGGUUUUCAGCUCUGCCUGCUCUGCCCUGGAUUCCUGUUCUGCUGGCUUCACCAUGGUCUCCACCACUGCUCGACGGACCAGGUCAUCCACUACGCUAUGGUCCACGCCCACCUCUGCUCCACAGUCCAUAGUUUACGUCAUUGCUCCACGGUCCAGGCCCACCUCUGCUCCACAAUCUAGACCUACAAUUGCUCCAUGGUCCAGGUCCACCAAUGUUCCACAGUCCAUGGUCUCUACCACUGUUCCACGGUCAAGGUUCACCACUGCACCAUGGCACAUGGUCUUGCCCUCUGCUUCAUGGUUCAAACCUGCCAUUUCCCUUCACGGGCCUGGCCCUCCAUCCUGCCCUCUGGACCACCUCCAUUCCACCACCCUCCUGAACUUUGUGUGUUUUGAGUUUUGUUUGGGCUUCUGAUGCUGCCCAUAG
ensembl:lncRNA